rnacentral:lncRNA from 10 species
CGCGGGUCGAGUGCUGUAGUUCGAUUUUUGCGUGUGUGCGUUGCUUGCGGCCUUUGUGCCUUUUUAUUCUUUGCUUACCUUUAUGAUAUAAAGACCUUAUUUCUUACAAGGAGGAAAAGACCGCUGACUUCAGAAACAGCGGGAACCCCAGCUCGUCCCCGCAUUCCCAGUUUACAGCUGAGGAAAUUAAGCUUCAAGUUGCCCAAGUUUAUAGAAUGAGUCAAUGGCAGAGGUUGAACUCAGAUGACAAAAUUGGGGUCUGGACGUGUGCAAGGACUUUUCCAAAGUCAGCUGGAAAGGAGCUGCUUAGCUGAGAGGUUCUGGCUCCAGAGUCUCCUGUGAAGUUGCAGUCAAGAUGUCUGCUGGGACCCCAGUCAUUUGAAGCCCUGUCUGGGGCAGGAGAAUCUAGGUCCAAAAUGGCCGUUGCAGGAGUCCUUAUCCACACCAUGUGGGACCUCUUCAUAGAUGUUCGAGUGUCCUCAUGGCAUGGCCACUGGCUUUCCCCAAAGUAAGCAGUCCAAAAGAGGGUAAGACAGAGCCCACACUGUCUUUUAUGAAUUAGCCUUAGAAGUCUAACACGGUUACUUCCACCACAUUCAUUAGUCGUUAGGUACAGCUCACAUUCAUGGGGAGGAAAAUCAGGGCCUGUCUUUAGAUAGGAGAUGUAUCAAAGAAUUUGUGGACAUAUUUUAAAAUCACAGCACUACUCUUGAUGUACUAAGUCAGUGACUCCCCCAGGAGUCUCACAGAGAAUUGACUCCUUGCCCACCUAUACUACCUUUGUGGGUAGAGACUCCAGUAGUGUGCUGGUUAAUGUUCAACCAGUGGCUUUCUAGAAAACAAAAUGUAUGGAUACAUAUAUAUGUUCUAAGUUUUACUGAUAUGAAGAAUGUGUAGCACAGAAUUUAUAAAUAAUAAAAUAUACAGUAUUAUUUAUUGUAAAUUCCAUAAAACCUGUUGUUUUUCACAAAAGGUUUUAGUUUAUUUUUCCCAAAUGCUUGUAUUGGUAACAUUUUCUGUAUUACCUUUU